rnacentral:lncRNA from 1 species
ACCCUCUGUUCGAACACCAGCUGUGAAGAUUGCACUGAAUUGUUGAAUAAUCUCUGCUAAUGUAAUUUGCAUAGGUGGGCAAAUAAACAGCCAGAGGAUGUAAAGAAUUCUUGUUAAAGAAAACCAAAAGCCCUAAAUAUCUUAAAUGUCUGGAAAUUUAACAUCUUUUUAAGCUCUGUAUUUUUGGCUUGACUAAUAACAUUUACAUAAUCAGAGAAGAAUCUGGUGACGACAUUACAUUGCUCAUUACAUCAACUGGUGUCAGAGAGAAUGAUGAAAGAGCAGCCUUUUAAGAUUUUACUGAGAAGGUAAGACUUAUGUUCCUUUUCAGGUCCUGCAUAUUACUUCUUACUAGCUUUCACUGGUUUCCCCUCUAAAUAAGAAUUAAAGACUAGUGCUAUCUAUCCAGAAAUCUUGCUGAAGGCAGGAGUAAGAACCAUACAGGAAAACAUAUUGUUCAGAAGGACUAGUUUGUCCCUGUAUUGACUAUCUGUACUUUCUUCUGAGGACGUGAUCUCCUCUCUUCAGCUUGUGACGUCCCAGAUUUUCUGGAGAGCCAUUCCCUUUGGCAGUCCUGCCACAGCCAAGUCUCUGUGACAUGACCUGAUCCAAAUGGCACACAACGUGUCAGCCUCCUGUCAUUUUUCCACUUGGCAUGCUGCAGUGUGCUGUUUAUUCUCGAAAACAACAGCGAAAGAAAAAGACUCAGAAAUGUGUUUUCUGACACACAAAUUGGCCUCCCUUUGGAAAGCAACCUUGCUGUCAAAAGGCAGGGUGCAGGAGAAUGUGUUUCUGGCAUAAAAGCUGCCCUUAACCUCACAGCAGGAGCACCCCAAGAAGUCUUGGAAAUUGAAGGCUCCUUUUAUUGUAAAAAAAGGUAAGAAUUCAUCUGCUUUAAAUUUUUUCCCCCAUAAUAAUCAGGUGUGUGGUUCAGAUAAUACCAUAUUGACUCUUUGAUUCUGUUGCUUUAAUACGACUUCACCAUCAUCUCUGUGAAGAGUAUAUAUGAUAUAUAUGAUAACACUGUAUGAGAAAAUCUAGCAGUUUAGUAUUCACUCUAUAUAUCAAAUAGCUGGGCAUCAAACUGCCUGAACUUUGACUUCAGUGCAACUUUCUGGAACAAUUUUUUCC